GAAUAAGCCUCAUUCAGUUUUUGAGACUUGUCCGUCAAACAACUCAAAAUUAUUUAUUUUUUGUGUAAAUAUUUGUAAAUUUUUAAGGGACGUUGAAUUCUUUCAUGUAAAAAAAGAAAAAUAAGGCGUCGACUGAUUAGUUUUCUGGAGGCGCGAUAUCCGUCUAUACGGUUUUCUGGAAAGCCAAUCAGCGGUCGUAAAAGUGACUUAUUUUUGGGAAGAGUUAACUAGAAAUCACAAAACAAAAUGUGCUGUGGACCCUGUGGUGGCUGCUGCGGACCAUGUGGUGGCUGCUGUGGACCUUGUGGUGGCUGCUAUGGGUCUUGUGGUAUUUACUGUGCUCCGAGCUUUUCCUGCUGUGGUCCGUGUGGUGGUUGCUGUGGGCCCUGUGGCGGAUGCUGUGGUGGCUGCGGUCCAUGCUGUUAAACCAUAACCAUAUUCAGAACAAAACCAGGGUACUCAAAAACAAGAUACAAUGUUCCAUUUAGGACAAAACAGUAGCAUUCCAUUUGUAAAUUUCUGUAAUCACACUAAUCAUAUAUCUGUAAAUAAACAGUCUUAAAAAUUUGAAUAAUUAAAA